rnacentral:lncRNA from 10 species
UAUCAACCUGUGACUUUUCGGGGAACAGAAUUAUUCAGUUUAUACAGAACAGGAAGAGACUUGUGAUAAGGGGAACAGGUAGGAAAGUUUUGUAUUAGUUGAGUGAGAGGCAACAAGGCCUUGAAUAAUGUACCAGUAGUGGGGAAGAGGGGGAGGCCAUUCAAUUUGGAGACAUGGAAGCAACAAAAUUUAUACCUUCCAACAAUCAGCUUGUUGUAAGGGAAGAGAAGAUGGUAGAAGUGGAUUCAGGUUUUGUGAUUAUUAAAAGAUUAGCAAUAAAAGGGAAAAAAUAAAUUAGGACAGGUGUUUAGGUACAUAAAAUGUUAUAGAAGACAGUAUUUUGGAUGAAUGAUGAAGUAAUAAACCAAGAAAUCGAGUUUUAUCUUUACCUUUUAUGUACCUGCAAAACAUUCAAGUGGAGAUCCUAAAUACACAGUUUGAUAUACAGAGAUGAGAAGUGUGUUCCUUCAUGUUCAUCUAAUAUUAAAUUAAUUGCAAAAAUGCUGCUGGUGGUUGGAACCAAAAGGAGAAGGAAAUUCCAUCAUCAAGAAAACUCACAUGUUCCCCACCUGCUUAAUUUCCAAAUAUUUUUCAGAUGUUUGAGAAUGAGAUAGGAGUAGACAUCUUUUUCUGACCUUAAAAAGUCAUGCUGUUUAAAUAGCAUCUAAAUUCCUUACCCCUCGGUAAUAUUGAUCAGAUAGUUUGUGUCCAACAAAUGUGAUGUGUGUAGAUAGUGGUUUCUGAAGAAUAUGCACGGGUCUGCAGGAAACAGCACCCUCACAAACUCAAUCCAGGCACCACAAGCCAGGUGCUAUGAAAGAUGAGUCCUCAUGUUCAUGACCUAAAGAAUCUAUCAUUUCUGAGGCUAGAAGAAAACUUCGAUGUCAUUUUAUCCCACCCACACUUUGAAAAUAUGAGAUAUUUAGGUCCAAACAAACACAUCGUCUAAAUUAAAAGGGAAGGAAAGCAGAAAGAAAGAAAGAAAAUGAGAGAAAGAUGAAAGCAAGCAAGCAAGACAGAGAGAAAGAAGGAAGCAAAUGAGACAUUGUUAUAUUCAAUCAAUCUUGUGGGAAAAAAUAAAAUAUAUCAUUUGCUGACACACCUAAUGCUGACUGGAAGUCAGGAGCCACUUACUGUGUCCUAGGUCAUAAUUAAGUGGAUGUGGGGCAUCAGGCAUGCGACUCAUCUCCUGGGGUCUUCUGGUAAGUUAGAGAUCAUCUUGCAAAGGAUGGAUUGGUUGCUUGCAGAGUUGGCAUUUGCCAUGAGCAAAUGGCAAUCGUAUGACUUAGGCCUCUGGAGCAUGUGACAGGACACAGACAAUUUGUCAAACAGCAGAUGACGUGGCAUUGUGGAAACCCACAGCCUCGGUGGGGAAAGCAGAAUCUGACAUCAGACAAGUCUUUAAAGCUGAUCAGGAAAAGCCUUAAGUACCAAUGUAAGAAAUCAUGGAGAGUUCAUGGAAAAGUGCGAAAAUGUCCAAAUUUGCAUGUUAGAAAUAGGACAUCUAUAUUCACGUCACUAUAAUGAUAAAUUAGAAGAGGAAAAGUCUGAAACCUUCGACAAUAGUUAAGAGAUUUUUCCAUAAACUCAGGUAAAGAGGAUAAGACCUGAAUAAAUCAGCAGAGUUUUGAUGGAGGAAAAGUAACAUAUUUUCAGGAGGUAUUUAGUUGGCAGAAUCAAUUAAUUUAAUUAUUAUUUGAUAAGGUAAAGAAUACUUAGCUGUUCAUCCAAGUCUUUUCUCUCUGAGCUCCUAGCUAAACUCCCUGUUCCAGCAUCGUUUAUGCUUAAGUGGAGCUAUAUCCCUGAGUUCUCGCUAACAGAAUAUGACAAAAGUGAUGUGUGCCAGCUUUGGAGGAAAGAACCUCCUGUAUACGUUCUUUCUCUUUUCGCUGGCUGUACAAUGACUGUGGAAAAUGAGGCCCUAAAAAGUGGCAGAACCAUCAGGUGCAAAUAACCUUCGUCAUUGAAUCAUUGUAUGGAAUAGAGUCACUGAUAAGAAACCCCUGCCUUGGACUAUUAUAUGAUCAAGAAAUAAACUAUUUUAUUUCUGGUUUGAAAGACA